AUAGUACUCCUUCCGUCCGAAAAAGCUUGUCCCUCAAAUGAAUGUAUCUAGCACCAAGUUAGCACUAGGUACAUCCAUUUGAAAGACUAGGUUGGGACAAGUUUUUUCAGACGGAGGGAGUAGAUA
rfam:Triticum urartu cultivar G1812 contig1240652, whole genome shotgun sequence.